rnacentral:rRNA from 1 species
CAAUAGCGUAUAUUAAAGUUGUUGCAGUUAAAAAGCUCGUAGUUGGAUUUCUGGUGGGAGCGAUCGGUCUGGCGCUUAGCGCGAGUACUUGCAUCGUCUCCGGCCAUCCUUGGGGAGAGUCUGUCUGGCAUUAAGUUGUCGGGCAGAGGAUCCUCAUCGUUUACUGUGAAAAAAUUAGAGUGUUCAAAGCAGGCUUAUGCCGUUGAAUAUAUUAGCAUGGAAUAAUAAGAUAGGACUUUGGUACUAUUUUGUUGGUUUGCGUACCAAAGUAAUGAUUAAUAGGGACAGUUGGGGGUAUUCGUAUUCCGUUGUCAGAGGUGAAAUUCUUGGAUUUACGGAAGACGAACUACUGCGAAAGCAUUUACCAAGGAUGUUUUCAUUAA